rnacentral:rRNA from 1 species
CUACGGGGUGCAGCAGGCGCGAAAACUUUACAAUGCUGGCAACAGCGAUAAGGGAACCUCGAGUGCCAGGUUACAAAUCUGGCUGUCGAGAUGCCUAAAAAGCAUUUCAUAGCAAGGGCCGGGCAAGACCGGUGCCAGCCGCCGCGGUAACACCGGCGGCUCGAGUGGUAACCGUUAUUAUUGGGUCUAAAGGGUCUGUAGCCGGCCGGAUAAGUCUCUUGAGAAAUCCAGCAGCUCAACUGUUGGGCUUUCAGGAGAUACUGUUCGGCUCGAGGCCGGGAGAGGUGAGAGGUACUUCAGGGGUAGGGGUGAAAUCUUGUAAUCCUUGAAGGACCACCAGUGGCGAAGGCGUCUCACCAGAACGGACCUGACGGCAAGGGACGAAAGCUAGGGGCACGAACCGGAUUAGAUACCCGGGUAGUCCUAGCCGUAAACGAUACUCGCUAGGUGUCGGCCACGGUGCGACCGUUGUCGGUGCCGUAGGGAAGCCGUGAAGCGAGC